rnacentral:rRNA from 1 species
AUUGAACGCUGGCGGCAGGCCUAACACAUGCAAGUCGAGCGCGCGGCGGACGGGUGAGUAAUGUCUGGGAAACUGCCCGAUGGAGGGGGAUAACUACUGGAAACGGUAGCUCAUACCGCAUACCAUCAGAUGUGCCCAGAUGGGAUUAGCUAGUAGGGGGGGAAACGGCUCACCUAGGCGCCGAUCCCUAGCUGGUCUGAGAGGAUGACCCGCCACACUGGAACUGAGACAGGUUCCAGACUCCUACGGGGGGCAGAAGUGGGGAAUAUGGCACAAUGGGCGAAAGCCUGAGGCAGCCAUGCCGCGUGUGUGAAGAAGGCCUGCGGGUUGUAAAGCACUUUCAGCGGGGAGACGUUCUCCGCAGAAGAAGCACCGGUAAAUCCCGUGCAAGCAGCCGCGGUAAUA